rnacentral:rRNA from 1 species
UACGUAGGGUGCAAGCGUUAAUCGGAAUUACUGGGCGUAAAGCGUGCGCAGGCGGUUUUGUAAGUCUGUCGUGAAAGCCCCGGGCUCAACCUGGGAAUUGCAUUCGAGACUGCGUGGCUAGGGUGCGGAAGAGGGAAGCGGAAUUUCCGGUGUAGCGGUGAAAUGCGUAGAUAUCGGGAGGAACACCAGUGGCGAAAGCGGCUUCCUGGUCCAGCACCGACGUUCAGGCACGAAAGCGUGGGGAGCAAACAGG